rnacentral:rRNA from 1 species
CGUAGUUGGCCGCACCUUCUUCUGCAGGUACCGUCAUUUUCUUCCCUGCUGAAAGCGGUUUACAACCCUAGGGCCUUCUUCCCGCACGCGGCGUUGCUGCAUCAGGCUUUCGCCCAUUGUGCAAGAUUCCCUA